GGCCUGCGCUGCGGCGGCGCGGGGAGGGCCUGGGCUGGGAGAGGGGCAUGAGUUGGAGGAGGCCGUCUGGGGGAGCCUGUCCGACUUCCUGGGAGAAUCAGGGCUUCCCGCUGUGCCCCGGGGCCUGGGGGACGAGGAGAUGCCCCCCUGGCUGGUAGGAGAUGGAUAUUGGAGAUGUCUGGGGCUGCUGGGGAAAUAGGAAACUUGCCUCUUAAUAACUACUGAAUUUAAAAAAAAAAAAAAGAGUACGUGUCCCCGGGGAGGUUCGGUUGGGUUAGGAGCUCCUGGGACACCAGGCCUGCUCCUUCCGGGGGCCCGUAGGAGCAAGCAAGCGGCAGUUUAAAGAGGGCUUUUGAGAGAAUCGUUUUGCCCCCAGGACAACUAACUGACAAUGAGGCGGUUGGGGUAAGAUGGGACCUGGGAGGAGGGUACCCUGUCCGGAGAUCUGGGAGAGGAGAAGAAGGGUCAGGAUCUGUGAGGAGCUUCAUUCUCUGCUGAGUUCGAGGUCCUCUUCUAGGAAGACAUACUGGGAAUUGGUGAAGCGAGGAGGAGAGGUGAUACUGUCUUGGGGCACAGUGAUUCUAGAAGUUGUAGUUCUGUAAAGUUGGUUGGAAGAGUAGAACUGUUUCUAGUCAGUUGAGGGAGGAGGAGCUCCUUGAAGGUUGCUAAGUUACCAGAAGCUUGUAGGCACCGCCUAGGGCUGGUGUUAGGGGAGGUUAGUUCUUUCAGGUCCUAAUUCGGGCUUAGUUAAGGCGUGUCCUCAUUCUUUUUUGGCUGCCUGGAGCUCUUAAAUUGGUUUCCACGAGCCCAGCUUGAGCUAAGAGGUUGUGUAGGUGCUGAGGGCUGAUGAAUGUCUUUGAGUCCAGAGACAUUUAGGUUAGGAGCUUUCAAACUUUAAAAAAAUUAUAGUAAGAAUAACGUUUUUCAUUAUCAUCUAGUACAUACCCACAUAGGAACAACAAGUUUCACAAAGCAGUACUCAUUCUUACUACUAAUGAUGCAUACUGAUGAUUGCUAUUAUAUUUCAUUCUUUUUCUUUAAGAAAUGCUAACUAAACGCACUAAAUUGAUACACGGGUCAUAACUUGCAGUUUGACAAACUGUCUCCAGGGCACAUUUUUUUGGCUUCAAUUAGUGUCUUCCUGUAUGUUUCUAGAGAACAAGGAUGAUAAUAAAGAGAUAGGGAGGGAGAGUGGAACCCCCCUGGUGUAAUUGACUACUUUUGUUUACAUAUUUAGAAGGUGUAGUAAAUUGUACCAUGAUCUUUGAUGUCUUAAUUUGCCUGAUCAGUUGAUGAAAUUUUGAAAUAAGUAUGUGCUUUUAAUUUUCUCUGUUCUUUGCUGGAUCUGAGAAAUAUGAGAGGCCUAGUUCCAUACAGUUGAUUCAUCCUUACAACAUCUUUAAGGACAUUGAGUGUCAAAUGAUGCUGCCUGAUUUCAGUAGGUACAUAUUUAUAGGUUGUAUUUAAGACCAGUUCAAUCAUUUUUAUUUUUGUUGAAGAUGCCCUCAUAUUAUUUGAAACCUGGAAUUCAAAAGCACAGCCAUCAGGAAAAUAUUGCCUGAAGUAAAGUUUACCACUAGGGCCACAUUCUUGAGUAGAUGCUUUAUGAAAGCAUUCUUAUUAUCUUCAAACUUAC
ensembl:lncRNA